CUGGGUUGCCUCAGUAGCGGCGAGUGAAGCGGCAAAAGCUCAAAUUUGAAAUCUGGCGUCUUUGGCGUCCGAGUUGUAAUUUGAAGAAGGUAUCUUUGGGCCCGGCUCUUGUCUAUGUUCCUUGGAACAGGACGUCACAGAGGGUGAGAAUCCCGUGCGAUGAGAUGACCCGGGUCUGUGUAAAGUUCCUUCGACGAGUCGAGUUGUUUGGGAAUGCAGCUCUAAGUGGGUGGUAAAUUCCAUCUAAAGCUAAAUAUUGGCGAGAGACCGAUAGCGAACAAGUACAGUGAUGGAAAGAUGAAAAGAACUUUGAAAAGAGAGUGAAAAAGUACGUGAAAUUGUUGAAAGGGAAGGGCUUGAGAUCAGACUUGGUAUUUUGCAUGCUGCUCUCUCGGGGGCGGCCGCUGCGGUUUACCGGGCCAGCAUCGGUUUGGAGCGGCAGGAUAAUGGCGGAGGAAUGUGGCACGGCUUCUGCUGUGUGUUAUAGCCUCUGACGAUACUGCCAGCCUAGACCGAGGACUGCGGUUUUUACCUAGGAUGUUGGCAUAAUGAUCUUAAGUCGCCCGUCUUGAUUCGGGACACCAAUUG
rnacentral:rRNA from 1 species